UCCGUCGUAGCUCAAUGGCAGAGCACUCGGCCGAUUACCGAGGGACCGCGGUUCGAUUCCGCGCGACGGGACCA
rnacentral:tRNA from 1 species